GCCCGCGCAUCUUGCAAUCGCUAUCCUCUUCUCCCUCUUCACGCUCGCCCCUCACGCCGUCACAGCCAUGCCACGCCGCCAACAAAGGGACGCCUUCCGGUCAUAGCCUUGAUGAUCCUUCUCUCCCCACGCCGCUGUCGCCCCAUGAUCUCCACCAGCGCCACGACGGCCCCAUGAUCUCCACCAGCGCCACGACGGCCAUGGCCUUCCCAUGCGUCGCCGUCUCCCCUCCAGAUCUGGCCGCCAACGACGCCCUCUACAGCGGUCAAGGUCGAGGGGGCGCGCCAUCCUUCUAGCGUGGUGGGCGACCGGGGGAAGGUCGACAAGGAAUAGGAGCCCAGUGGCACGCCAUGUCUCACAGCCACUAUUGGAUCGGAAGGGGAUGAAAAGGAGAAAGAGGGCACCCCUGGUGGCGCAGGCAUCCAACGUCCCGGACAACGUCCUCCGCGACGUCCUUCUCCAUGCCCGAAUCCACUGCUCUUCAAGCUACGUUGCCUGCAACUACAAGUCCUAUAUGCAGUGGCGGAGCUUGAACGAAAUCUCAGGAGGGGCGAACAUUUUCUUCUUCCUCAAUGCGGAAUUGUAUUACUACAACAAAUUAGAUAUUGAAAAGCAUUAAGAAACUUAGAUAAGUAUAUUAAUCACAUUUCUAGCGCUGAUUAUAUCUAUAAAAACUUCCAUGGAAAAAAUAUACCAAAAUAUUAUUCAACCAUGGAGUAUUGAGUUAAUCACACUAAAAAUCAGCUCUUCGUUUCUUUGUGCUCUUAAAUGGCAAGAACAUCUGCAAUAAUAGAGGAGGUUGAACAGUUUUUUUUUUUGUGAUUUGGUUGAACAGGGGUUCUGAUCCAGUUAAUGUCAGUUCAUUAGCUUUACAUUCACCUCUCUUUCUUUUGUAAAAUGCAUCAAUGGUUUCCUUUAACCAUCACUGCUCGUUCUGUAAACAAAAAGGAUUAGUACAAAAUCUAUGACCUAUUCAAAACUUUCCCCUACAAAUUAAGACUGCUCUUGCUUGCUUGCUGCUCACAAGCUCACUGCAUGCGGCGCCGAUCUCAGUUCUGACCUCUUCGCCACCUCUGGCUGGCCAUCCAUAGCUAAGCUGCCCGCUAACCCACACGCAGGAACGCUCACUGAUCGGUGCCUCGCCUCUAGCUACCUCUACGCAGACCACUCGCAUCGGUGAGGAGUGGAGCGCGGUCGGCCUUGUAGCUCCUUGGUGGCACUUGUUGCAUCAAGGGGAGGCACCCAGCCAUGCCCAGUCCACAAGUCCACACAAGAUGGCAAGAGGAAAGUGUAGAAGACGAGAGAAAUCAGAGUUGGUCGCUGGCUGCAGUAGGUCGCAGGUAGUUUGUCUCCAUAUGGAGAUGUUAAAAGGGCCAUAUGGGCUGGUGUGUGCAGUGCCGCCUCAUUACUAUGACGGGGUAUUAAAAAAGUUUCACUUUUUGCUGGGGGGGCGACCACCCAGGUUCGCCCCCGAGAAGCUCCGCCAUUGCCUAUAUGUCCCUCCGGCCCUGAUGACUCUCGAAGCAAUGUCCACAAAGUUGACUUCCUGACUUUUCUUUCACGGUGCAUAGAUCAGCAAUUUGUUCAGAAUAUAAAUUUAUUUGUUCUGGGAGCAUAUAUUAGAUUUCUCGGCCAUCAAAGAAUCAUCAUGUACUAUUUUCACCUGAUGUGUUACGUAAAUGUUUUAUUGCAGAAGUUCAAGGUUUAAGGCAAUUAAGGAUAUUAUUAGGAUACUCAAGCAAAAAAGACUAUAGAAGUACCAAUGGAGUGGUGUUCUUUAUGCUCUCAUGGUGUUUGCUACAGAUGUCCACACCACAACUCCCGCUACUGAUGUGUCACAAUUGAGGCCAUGGCUCGCAAGGGGUAGGUCGUUCUCGAUUUUUUCCGCUCGGUCUACGGCCUCCUUUGCCCAUGGUCAGAUCUUCUCAUCGCCGGCCACAGGUGGACAAUGAUCUAGCCGUGCUCCAAAACUACCACCACCAAGCAGGGGAGCAUUGCGCCGGCCUCCUCUCCUCUGGUCCCAAGUCCGACCACCACCACAACCAGGCGUGCUCCUCCAUAGGCCCAACUGUGGAGUCCGGAGCAACCAAGGCCAACCAAGUUGUUGGAGGACAAAUUUUCUCUGUUCUCAAAGCUUGUAGUGGAAUACAUGAUGAGGUUGAUGCACAAUUGAGCCAGCAUCACAAAUGUUAUCAAAUGAAAUUUUACUUUAUCCAAAUUGUUUUAUGCAAAUAUUAGAAAUAUACUAUGCCUCUCUGAUUCAUCGGAUGUGGUGAAGAGGCUGGCAUGUAAUAUGUGAAAUUCGUAUAGCUGCGCACUACCGGGCAUAGAAGGAUGUGCUGGCUCUCGACUUAUUUCUGCAGGCGACGACAUAUCAUGAACUAACUGGAGGAGCCAAACUGGAUUUGAAAGGUGUGCUGACCAGUCCCUCUGCUCUACCCACAUGAUAGUAUGUAAACGAAUGACUAGAUACUUUUCAUCAGAAAAAAAAGGAACGCGUAGAUAUUUUACUUGGUUUUCUUUCAUGUUGGCCUUAACUAACAAACAUGUUCUCAGCAAGUUCUCCACCUUUGCCAUGGGAUGAGAAUGACGCUUACACAACAGAGGUUUUUCAGUUUUAUUGUCAGGUCUAUUUACGCAUUCUGUAUUUUACUUGAGAGUGAACUUCUAAGGCUGUACCUUGUGCAAAGUGCUAGCACCUACAGAUGAUCCGAAUUUUCCUCUUGUAAAUGUCAUGAGGCAUGAGCCACAACCUCUUCGUAGAACAUUAAAACAAAACAUUGAUCCCCCUGUGGGUACAGAAACAUUGUCCUUCUGAUUUAUUUUUCCAAUAGAUGAUUGUGGACCAAGUUUUUUCAAUCUAUGCCCUUUUUGCUGCACAAUUUUUUUUGGUGCUGCCAUAUAAGUUAUAUUAUUAAUAUACUUUAGUGUUGUUAUUAGUAGUUGGCUUAUCUAGCAAUAGAAUGUUGGGACGAUAGCUCUAGCCUCUGCCAACAUUCUGAAAACUGUAGCAUCCUUUAUACUAAUAUAUUACAUGUUUUUGGAUGGUUCUUUUUCUUGAGCGGCCGCUCCUGUCCACGGUCUCCUUGAUCUCAGGAUCUGCUCCUUCCCCACGCCUGCCCACGAGGACAAGGAGGCAUGGCGGUGGCCACUAGCAGCGCCAGGAGGUUUUAAGCUCAGGUGUCAUGUGUGGUGACGAGCUCAUCAUCGCGGGAUUGGUCACGUUCGGAUGUGUUGUGAUCAAGUGAACACCAUGGCCAUCGCCGGUGAUGGUGGGAAGGAAGAUAAGCACGUCAGAUCGGGUGAUGUGUUGAAAUUGAUGACUUGGACCUGCUGGCAGUCUUGAGUCAUGCUUAUUGGGCUAAAGAAACUGAUGUUGACGGAGGUAAUGACAAACAAGAUGGUGAAUCUGAAAAUGUGAACACACAAGAUCUCUAAGAAAUGAUUUGGUUGAUGGCACAAUUACGGCAACCAACUCCACAACCUGAUUCUGUCUGGGCCGGCCCUUGGAGGGUUGUGAUGCAGGUGCAGUUGAAGCUGCCAUAGGGCAUGAAAAACGUGUUACAUUUUGUUUGGGAGGGAGUGAUUUUUAACGUCGGAUAACUUAUUAGAAACCAUGCGAUGUGAGAGUCACGGUAAGCACGAUACGAUGAGGGUCACUUGCCUUGGAUUUAUUCUAACAUCGGCAGGUAUCUACAUUGAAGCGUCGUCUAAUCCGUCCCGACGAAAGAACUUGAGGAUCGGAGCCUGGAAGACAUAUGACGACGUUGUUGAGCAAGCUUGAACAUUUGUACAAAAUGUAUGACUGUGCUGAGAAGCAUUAUACUCGUGACAAACUUCAGAAAUAUACUGAAAAUUCAAAGAACUGUAAAUUUUUUCUCG